UACGGAGGGGACUAGCGUUGUUCGGAAUUACUGGGCGUAAAGCGCACGUAGGCGGAUCUGUAAGUCAGGGGUGAAAUCCCGGGGCUCAACCCCGGAACUGCCUUUGAUACUGCGAAUCUCGAGUCCGGAAGAGGUGAGUGGAAUUCCUAGUGUAGAGGUGAAAUUCGUAGAUAUUAGGAAGAACACCAGUGGCGAAGGCGGCUCACUGGUCCGGUACUGACGCUGAGGUGCGAAAGCGUGGGGAGCAAACAGG
rnacentral:rRNA from 1 species